rnacentral:rRNA from 1 species
AUUGAACGCUGGCGGCAGGCCUAACACAUGCAAGUCGAACGAGUGGCGGACGGGUGAGUAAUGUCUGGGAAACUGCCUGAUGGAGGGGGAUAACUACUGGAAACGGUAGCUAAUACCGCAUACCAUCGGAUGUGCCCCGAUGAGAUUAGGUAGUAGGUGGGGUAAAGGCUCACCUUGGCGACGAUCCCUAGCUGGGCUGAGAGGAUGACCAGCCACACUGGAACUGAGACACGGUCCAGACUCCUACGGGAUGCAGCAGUGGGGAAUAUUGCACAAGGGGCGCAAGCCUGCUACAGACAUGCCGCGUGUAUGAAGAAGGCCUUCGGGUUGUAAAGUACUUUCAGCGGGGAGGCGUUACCCGCAGAAGAAGCACCGGCUAACUCCGUGCCAGCAGCCGCGGUAAUUC